UACGAGGGGGGCAAGCGUUGUUCGGAAUUAUUGGGCGUAAAGGGUGCGUAGGCGGUUUGGUAAGUCUUAUGUGAAAUCUACAGGCUCAACUUGUAGUCUGCAUGAGAAACUGCCGGGCUUGAGUAUGGGAGAGGUGAGUGGAAUUCCGAGUGUAGAGGUGAAAUUCGUAGAUAUUCGGAAGAACACCAGUGGCGAAGGCGACUCACUGGACACGUAUUGACGCUGAGGUGCGAAAGCGUGGGGAGCAAACAGG
rnacentral:rRNA from 1 species